rnacentral:rRNA from 1 species
UACGUAGGGCGCAAGCGUUAUCCGGAAUUAUUGGGCGUAAAGAGCUCGUAGGCGGUUUGUCGCGUCUGCCGUGAAAGUCCGGGGCUCAACUCCGGAUCUGCGGUGGGUACGGGCAGACUAGAGUGAUGUAGGGGAGACUGGAAUUCCUGGUGUAGCGGUGAAAUGCGCAGAUAUCAGGAGGAACACCGAUGGCGAAGGCAGGUCUCUGGGCAUUAACUGACGCUGAGGCACGAAAGCUAGGGGAGCAAACAGG